GCCUGGUUGGCUCAGUUGGUAGAGCAUCUGACUCUCGAUCUCUGGGCUGUGAGUUCAAGUCCCAUGUUGGGCA
rnacentral:tRNA from 1 species